rnacentral:rRNA from 1 species
GGGUUGUGAGGUUAAGCGACUAAGCGUACACGGUGGAUGCCCUGGCAGUCAGAGGCGAUGAAGGACGUGCUAAUCUGCGAUAAGCGUCGGUAAGGUGAUAUGAACCGUUAUAACCGGCGAUUUCCGAAUGGGGAAACCCAGUGUGUUUCGACACACUAUCAUUAACUGAAUCCAUAGGUUAAUGAGGCGAACCGGGGGAACUGAAACAUCUAAGUACCCCGAGGAAAAGAAAUCAACCGAGAUUCCCCCAGUAGCGGCGAGCGAACGGGGAGCAGCCCAGAGCCUGAAUCAGUGUGUGUGUUAGUGGAAGCGUCUGGAAAGGCGUGCGAUACAGGGUGACAGCCCCGUACACAAAAAUGCACAUGCUGUGAGCUCGAUGAGUAGGGCGGGACACGUGGUAUCCUGUCUGAAUAUGGGGGGACCAUCCUCCAAGGCUAAAUACUCCUGACUGACCGAUAGUGAACCAGUACCGUGAGGGAAAGGCGAAAAGAACCCCGGCGAGGGGAGUGAAAAAGAACCUGAAACCGUGUACGUACAAGCAGUGGGAGCACGCUUAGGCGUGUGACUGCGUACCUUUUGUAUAAUGGGUCAGCGACUUAUAUUCUGUAGCAAGGUUAACCGAAUAGGGGAGCCGAAGGGAAACCGAGUCUUAACUGGGCGUUAAGUUGCAGGGUAUAGACCCGAAACCCGGUGAUCUAGCCAUGGGCAGGUUGAAGGUUGGGUAACACUAACUGGAGGACCGAACCGACUAAUGUUGAAAAAUUAGCGGAUGACUUGUGGCUGGGGGUGAAAGGCCAAUCAAACCGGGAGAUAGCUGGUUCUCCCCGAAAGCUAUUUAGGUAGCGCCUCGUGAAUUCAUCUCCGGGGGUAGAGCACUGUUUCGGCAAGGGGGUCAUCCCGACUUACCAACCCGAUGCAAACUGCGAAUACCGGAGAAUGUUAUCACGGGAGACACACGGCGGGUGCUAACGUCCGUCGUGAAGAGGGAAACAACCCAGACCGCCAGCUAAGGUCCCAAAGUCAUGGUUAAGUGGGAAACGAUGUGGGAAGGCCCAGACAGCCAGGAUGUUGGCUUAGAAGCAGCCAUCAUUUAAAGAAAGCGUAAUAGCUCACUGGUCGAGUCGGCCUGCGCGGAAGAUGUAACGGGGCUAAACCAUGCACCGAAGCUGCGGCAGCGACGCUGAUGCGUUGUUGGGUAGGGGAGCGUUCUGUAAGCCUGCGAAGGUGUGCUGUGAGGCAUGCUGGAGGUAUCAGAAGUGCGAAUGCUGACAUAAGUAACGAUAAAGCGGGUGAAAAGCCCGCUCGCCGGAAGACCAAGGGUUCCUGUCCAACGUUAAUCGGGGCAGGGUGAGUCGACCCCUAAGGCGAGGCCGAAAGGCGUAGUCGAUGGGAAACAGGUUAAUAUUCCUGUACUUGGUGUUACUGCGAAGGGGGGACGGAGAAGGCUAUGUUGGCCGGGCGACGGUUGUCCCGGUUUAAGCGUGUAGGCUGGUUUUCCAGGCAAAUCCGGAAAAUCAAGGCUGAGGCGUGAUGACGAGGCACUACGGUGCUGAAGCAACAAAUGCCCUGCUUCCAGGAAAAGCCUCUAAGCAUCAGGUAACAUCAAAUCGUACCCCAAACCGACACAGGUGGUCAGGUAGAGAAUACCAAGGCGCUUGAGAGAACUCGGGUGAAGGAACUAGGCAAAAUGGUGCCGUAACUUCGGGAGAAGGCACGCUGAUAUGUAGGUGAAGUCCCUUGCGGAUGGAGCUGAAAUCAGUCGAAGAUACCAGCUGGCUGCAACUGUUUAUUAAAAACACAGCACUGUGCAAACACGAAAGUGGACGUAUACGGUGUGACGCCUGCCCGGUGCCGGAAGGUUAAUUGAUGGGGUUAGCCGCAAGGCGAAGCUCUUGAUCGAAGCCCCGGUAAACGGCGGCCGUAACUAUAACGGUCCUAAGGUAGCGAAAUUCCUUGUCGGGUAAGUUCCGACCUGCACGAAUGGCGUAAUGAUGGCCAGGCUGUCUCCACCCGAGACUCAGUGAAAUUGAACUCGCUGUGAAGAUGCAGUGUACCCGCGGCAAGACGGAAAGACCCCGUGAACCUUUACUAUAGCUUGACACUGAACAUUGAGCCUUGAUGUGUAGGAUAGGUGGGAGGCUUUGAAGUGUGGACGCCAGUCUGCAUGGAGCCGACCUUGAAAUACCACCCUUUAAUGUUUGAUGUUCUAACGUUGACCCGUAAUCCGGGUUGCGGACAGUGUCUGGUGGGUAGUUUGACUGGGGCGGUCUCCUCCUAAAGAGUAACGGAGGAGCACGAAGGUUGGCUAAUCCUGGUCGGACAUCAGGAGGUUAGUGCAAUGGCAUAAGCCAGCUUGACUGCGAGCGUGACGGCGCGAGCAGGUGCGAAAGCAGGUCAUAGUGAUCCGGUGGUUCUGAAUGGAAGGGCCAUCGCUCAACGGAUAAAAGGUACUCCGGGGAUAACAGGCUGAUACCGCCCAAGAGUUCAUAUCGACGGCGGUGUUUGGCACCUCGAUGUCGGCUCAUCACAUCCUGGGGCUGAAGUAGGUCCCAAGGGUAUGGCUGUUCGCCAUUUAAAGUGGUACGCGAGCUGGGUUUAGAACGUCGUGAGACAGUUCGGUCCCUAUCUGCCGUGGGCGCUGGAGAACUGAGGGGGCUGCUCCUAGUACGAGAGGACCGGAGUGGACGCAUCACUGGUGUUCGGGUUGUCAUGCCAAUGGCACUGCCCGGUAGCUAAAUGCGGAAGAGAUAAGUGCUGAAAGCAUCUAAGCACGAAACUUGCCCCGAGAUGAGUUCUCCCUGACUCCUUGAGAGUCCUGAAGGAACGUUGAAGACGACGACGUUGAUAGGCCGGGUGUGUAAGCGCAGCGAUGCGUUGAGCUAACCGGUACUAAUGAACCGUGAGGCUUAACCUUACAACGCCGAAGGUGUUU